CAAUCGAUUGAUGAUUUCAUUAUUUUCAAGAAAUCAAAUGUAAAUUCAGGUGGUAUACGACAUUCACAAUCCACACAAUCGGCUGCCUGAUGUCGUGAUUGAUAGAUACGUGCACCAACCGGAUAUUUACGGCCUUCGAAAUGACAUAAUUUUGAACCAUAAUCAACACCACGAACCCGUAAUGCCAUCUGUCGUGUACGAGCUGAAAUGUUGAUAAUGACCGGCCAAACUUACGACAAAUAAAAUCCACUGGGCAACAUUUAUCUGGAUCAUAAACUGGUAUACAACCACGACGAAAUCUU